AGAGUUUGAUCAUGGCUCAGGAUGAACGCUAGCGGCAGGCUUAAUACAUGCAAGUCGAACGGUAAGGUCUCUUCGGAGAUACACGAGUGGCGCACGGGUGCGUAACGCGUAUGCAACCUACCUUUAACUGGGAAAUAGCCCCGAGAAAUCGGGAUUAAUGUCCCAUAUUAUUUUCUGAAUGCAUAUUUGGAAAAUGAAAGCUCCGGCGGUUAAAGAUGGGCAUGCGUGACAUUAGCUAGUUGGUGAGGUAACGGCCCACCAAGGCGACGAUGUCUAGGGGUCCUGAGAGGGUUAACCCCCACACUGGUACUGAGACACGGACCAGACUCCUACGGGAGGCAGCAGUAAGGAAUAUUGGGCAAUGGACGCAAGUCUGACCCAGCCAUGCCGCGUGAAGGAUGAAUGUCCUAUGGAUUGUAAACUUCUUUUGUGCAAGAAAAACCCCUCGGUUUCGUACCGGGGCUGAUUGUAUUGCACGAAUAAGCAUCGGCUAACUCCGUGCCAGCAGCCGCGGUAAUACGGAGGAUGCAAGCGUUAUCCGGAUUCAUUGGGUUUAAAGGGUGCGCAGGCGGAAUGAUAAGUCAGUGGUGAAAUCUCCCGGCUCAACCGGGAAACUGCCAUUGAUACUGCCAUUCUUGAGUACAGUUGAAGUGGGCGGAAUGUGUCAUGUAGCGGUGAAAUGCUUAGAUAUGACACAGAACACCGAUAGCGAAGGCAGCUCACUAAGCUGUAACUGACGCUCAUGCACGAAAGCGUGGGGAUCAAACAGG
rnacentral:rRNA from 1 species